rnacentral:lncRNA from 1 species
GUCGUAUAAAAGGUACAAAAUUCUUAUGUAAGACGCGUCUUGGAUAAGACGCGACUUAAAUAAGAACACGAUUUUUAGCUGUUCUUAUUUAAGUCGCGUUUUAAAUAAAUUAUUUUGGAUAAAAAGUCUAACUACACAUGCCCAAAACUUGAAACAACGUAAAAUUAUUGGCCUUGCAUAUUAAAAUAAAAACAACCAAAACAACAUUAUAGCUAUAGCAAGUAAAUAAGUACAUUAUAAGCAACCCCGGGGGUUAAUAGAGGGUUGGGGUAAUACAUUUAAAUUAUAUUGUAUUUCUAUUGUAAAUAUUGUAUUUUAAAUAAGG